GAUGAAGAACGUAGCGAAAUGCGAUACUUGGUGUGAAUUGCAGAAUCCCGUGAACCAUCGAGUCUUUGAACGCAAGUUGCGCCCGAAGCCACUAGGCCGAGGGCACGCCUGCCUGGGCGUCACACGUCGUUGCCCCCCCAUCUACUCCUUCGGGAUUGCGGGGGGGCGGAUGAUGGCCUCCCGUGCGCCUAGCCGCGCGGUUGGCAUAAAUACCAAGUCCUCGGCGACGGACGCCACGACAAUCGGUGGUUGCGAAACCUCGGUUGCCCGUCGUGUGCGUUCGUCGCGCAUCGAGGGCUCGAAAAAAUGCUCGGCUUCGGCUCGGCUUUCAACGCGACCCCAGGUCAGGCGGGGUUACCCGCUGAAUUUAAGCAUAUCAAUAAGCGGAGGA
rnacentral:misc_RNA from 1 species